AUUGAACGCUGGCGGCAGGCCUAACACAUGCAAGUCGAGCGAGUGGCGUACGGGUGAGUAAUGUAUGGGGAACUGCCCGAUGGAGGGGGAUAACUACUGGAAACGGUAGCUAAUACCGCAUACCAUCGGAUGUGCCCAGAUGGGAUUAGCUAGUAGGUGGGGUAACGGCUCACCUAGGCGACGAUCCCUAGCUGGUCUGAGAGGAUGACCAGCCCCACUGGAACUGAGACACGGUCCAGAUUCCUACGGGAGGCAGCAGUGGGGAAUAUUGCACAAUGGGCGAAAGCCUGAUGCAGCCAUGCCGCGUGUAUGAAGAAGGCCUUAGGGUUGUAAAGUACUUUCAGCGGGGAGGCGUUACUCGCAGAAGAAGCAUCGGCUAACUCCGUGCCAGCAGCCGCGGUAAUUC
rnacentral:rRNA from 1 species